UACGGAGGGUGCAAGCGCUAAUCGGAAUUACUGGGCGUAAAGCGUGCGCAGGCGGUUUGUUAAGUCUGUUGUGAAAUCCCCGAGCUCAACUUGGGAAUUGCAAUGGAUACUGGCAGGCUGGAGUAUGGUAGAGGAAGGUGGAAUUCCCGGUGUAGCAGUGAAAUGCGUAGAGAUCGGGAGGAACACCAGUGGCGAAGGCGGCCUUCUGGACCAAUACUGACACUCAGGGACGAAAGCGUGGGGAGCAAACAGG
rnacentral:rRNA from 1 species